rnacentral:rRNA from 1 species
AACGAACGCUGGCGGCAGGCCUAACACAUGCAAGUCGAGCGCCCCGCAAGGGGAGCGGCGCACGGGUGCCUAACGCGUGGGAAUAUGCCCUUGGGUGCGGAACAACGUCUGGAAACGGACGCUAAUACCGCAUAAUGACUCCGGUCCAAAGAUUUAUCGCCCAAGGAUUAGCCCGCGUUGGAUUAGCUAGUUGGUGAGGUAACGGCUCACAAAAGCAACGAUCCAUAGCUGGUCUGAGAGGAUGAUCAGCCACACUGGAACUGAGAAACGGUCCAGACUCCUACGGGAGGCAGCAGUGAGGAAUAUUGGACAAUGGGCGAAAGCCUGAUCCAGCCAUGCCGCGUGAGUGAUGAAGGCCUUCGGGUUGUAAAGCUCUUUCGGUUGUGAAGAUUAUGACGGUAGCAACAGAAGAAGCCCCGGCUAAAUUCGUGCCAGCAGCCGCAGUAA